rnacentral:rRNA from 1 species
UGGGAAGUAUUGGACAAUGGGCGCAAGCCUGAUCCAGCCAUGCCGCGUGUGUGAAGAAGGCCUUAGGGUUGUAAAGCACUUUCAGUGGGGAGGAAGGGUGUUGUGUUAAUAGCACGGCAUUUUGACGUUACCCACAGAAGAAGCACCGGCUAACUCCGUGCCAGCAGCCGCGGUAAUACGGAGGGUGCAAGCGUUAAUCGGAAUUACUGGGCGUAAAGCGCACGCAGGCGGCUUUUUAAGUCGGAUGUGAAAGCCCCGGGCUCAACCUGGGAAUUGCAUCUGAUACUGGGAAGCUAGAGUAUGUGAGAGGGGGGUAGAAUUCCAAGUGUAGCGGUGAAAUGCGUAGAGAUUUGGAGGAAUACCAGUGGCGAAGGCGGCCCCCUGGCACAAUACUGACGCUCAGGUGCGAAAGCGUGGGGAGCAAAACAGGAUUAGAUACCCUGGUAGUCCACGCCGUAAACGAUGUCUACUAGAUGUUCGUGGUCUUGUACCGUGAGUAUCGCAGCUAACGCAUUAAGUAGACCGCCUGGGGGAGUAC